GUCCACGCCGUAAACGAUGUCGACUAGCCGUUGGGAGCCUUGAGCUCUUAGUGGCGCAGCUAACGCAUUAAGUCUACCGCCUGGGGAGUACGGCCGCAAGGUUAAACUCAAAUGAAUUGACGGGGCCCGCACAAGCGGUGGAGCAUGUGGUUUAAUUCGAAGCAACGCGAAGAACCUUACCAGGCCUUGACAUGCAGAGAACUUUCCAGAGAUGGAUUGGUGCCUUCGGGAACUCUGACACAGGUGCUGCAUGGCUGUCGU
rnacentral:rRNA from 1 species